GCCGGCGCCGCCUCUCCUGCUGUUCAGGAAGCUGAGUAACCCCGACCUGUCUCCUGCCGCAGGAAAGACCAAACUGCAGCGACAGCUCAGUCAGGAUGACACCAGAGCCCGACGCUGCAGUAUGGCUGGCAUCCUCACCGGAAAGCAGCUUCUGCCUCUGUCCAGCAGCAUGCAUGGUGGAGUGAGUCAGCUGGCCUGGCAGCAGCACACAGGAGAACCCAAUAACUUGGUCCGCAUGAGGAGUCAAUCCUUUGGCCAGUCUGCCCCCUCUCUCACUGCGGGACUGGUUUGCUUUUAGCCCUCUCUGACUCCCUCAUUACGUGCCCAGCGAAUGGCACAGGAACAUCACUCCAUGCCUCAAUGAGAAAUGUAGUUCACAUGUAAUUUAAAGUGUGGCAGAAGAAAAUGCUAUGAUUGUUUUGUGUAUGUAUGUAUAUUGUGUAUGUGUGUAUGCAUGCAUCUUGAUGUGAAUGGGCUUUUAUGGUAGCAUGCUAAUUUGAACACACCUGUAGCUUCAGAUAUUGAUGCUGAUGUUUUGGAGUGUGUCAUAUACUUGUGCCCUAAGUGUGCAACCUUAAGAAUUCAUACCAUUAGUCAGUCUCAUGACCUCUUCAGAUCAAUAAUAGUGAACGUGCUGUCUGU
rnacentral:lncRNA from 1 species